UUAGUAACUGCGAGUGAAGUGGGAAAAGCUCAAAUUUAAAAUCUGGCAGUCUGAAUUUAUUUCUUUGGCUGUCCGAGUUGUAAUCUAGAGAAGUGCUACCUGUACUGGACCAUGUACAAGUCUCCUGGGAUGGAGCAUCACAGAGGGUGAGAAUCCCGUCUAUGACAUGGACUACCAGUGUGUUGUGGAGUACUUUCAAAGAGUCGAGUUGUUUGGGAAUGCAGCUCUAAAUGGGUGGUAAACUCCAUCUAAAGCUAAAUAUUGGCGAGAGACCGAUAGUGAACAAGUACCGUGAGGGAAAGAUGAAAAGGACUUUGGAAAGAGAGUUAAACAGUACGUGAAAUUGUUGAAAGGGAAACACUUGAUGUCAGUUGUGUUAGCUAGGGAUCAGCCUAGCUUUUCUGCUUGGCGAAUUUCCUGGUCUGACAGGCCAACAUCAGUUUUGAUUGCUGGAGAAAGGCAGACGGAAUGUGGCACCUUUGGGUGUGUUAUAGCUUUCUGUCAGAUGUAGCAGUCGGGACUGAGGUAUGCAGUGCGCCGCAAGGCUGGGUUUCGACCACACUCGCACUUAGGAUGUUGGUUUAAUGGCUUCAAUUGAUCCGUCUUGAAACACGGACCAAGGAGUCUAACAUGCAUGCGAGUAUUUGGGUGAUAAACCCUUGUGCAUAAUGAAAGUGAAAAUUGAGAUCCCUGUCAUGGGGAGCAUUGAUGCCCGGACCUGAGCUUUUAGCGAUGGAUCUGCGGUAAAGCAUGCAUGUUGGGACCCGAAAGAUGGUGAACUAUGCCUGAAUAGGGCAAAGCCAGAGGAAACUCUGGUGGAAGCUCGUAGCGAUUCUGACGUGCAAAUCGAUCGUCGAAUUUGGGUAUAGGGGCGAAAGACUAAUCG
rnacentral:rRNA from 1 species